CUCGUAGGCGGCCCGUUAGGCCAGGAGUCAAAUUCGGGGGCUCAACCCCCGCGCGCUCCUGAUACCGGCGGGCUUGAGUUUGGUAGGGGAAGGUGGAAUUCCCAGUGUAGCGGUGGAAUGCGCAGAUAUUGGGAAGAACACCGGUGGCGAAGGCGGCCUUCUGGGCCAUAACUGACGCUGAGGAGCGAAAGCUAGGGGAGCGAACA
rnacentral:rRNA from 1 species